rnacentral:rRNA from 1 species
UGGGGAAUAUUGCACAAUGGGCGCAAGCCUGAUGCAGCCAUGCCGCGUGUAUGAAGAAGGCCUUCGGGUUGUAAAGUACUUUCAGCGGGGAGGAAGGGAGUAAAGUUAAUACCUUUGCUCAUUGACGUUACCCGCAGAAGAAGCACCGGCUAACUCCGUGCCAGCAGCCGCGGUAAUACGGAGGGUGCAAGUGUUAAACCGAAUUACUGGGCGUAAAGCGCACGCAGGCGGUUUGUUAAGUCAGAUGUGAAAUCCUCGGGCUCAACCUGGGAACUGCAUCUGAUACUGGCAAGCUGGAGUCUCGUAGAGGGGGGUAGAAUUCCAGGUGUAGCGGUGAAAUGCGUAGAGAUCUGGAGGAAUACCAGUGGCGAAGGCGGCCCCCUGGACGAAGACUGACGCUCAGGUGCGAAAGCGUGGGGAGCAAACAGG